UCCCUGGUGGUACAGUGCUUAGAACUCUGCACUCUCACUGAUGAGGGUCCAGGUUCAAUCCCUGGCUGAGGAA
rnacentral:tRNA from 1 species